ACCGCCCCUGAUCCUAGAGAUUUUAUUCACACCAUCACACGGGACGCUUUCAUCUCCCAUUUUUCCCUGAGUUAGAGUUUAGUCGAACUUGCUUCCGUGAAGCAUUUACUAUUUUUCCUUUCUUCCUCUUCUCGUAUUCAACCUUAUUCGUCUAUUAAACGAAUAUUAGGGGAAAAUAUGAUUAAAAAAUUCAAAUCAUCUUCUUCUUCUUUCUGUCUUAGGGUUUUCUCUUUUACAGUUAUUGACCUCACCCCAAGGGUUUGCACUUUCUUCUCUUUAGGCGUUACUCUCGAAACAACUUUAUUCCCUAAUUUGACUCUAAUUCCUAUGUUUCUCCCCAAUUUUUUCAAGGUUCUUAUCGCCCUCUUGUGGAAUCAAUUUUUUUGCAUUUCAAGGCUUCCUUGAUUGGUACUCUCACGUUUUGUAUUCUGCAUUUGUUUCGAUAUACUUUGUUUUGCCUCUCAAUGGAAUGUUCCUCUGUCACAAGUAGAACAAGAGAUACAUAUUCUCUCUGUCUCAUCUUCAGAAACGAAUAUUUUUGUAGGAUAGAGGCACUUGAAUCAGCCUGAUGUAGUUGAUGAUGAUGCCCUAUCUGAUGAUCUAGCCAGAGAGAGUCGGGAAUCAACUUUAUCUGCAGAAGAGCUCUGAGUACCGGAUGAAUCAAUUCACUUACAUUAUGCAGCAGAAGUUUCUAUUAGGGGAAGAUCACGAACAUCUAGAUUACUCUAAAAUAGAUAAUGAUGAUUCUCUUGACGAUCAUUGGCAGAGGGAGGCCAAUAUUGAUGCAGAGGAGAGAUAUUUUGCUGAUGAUUAAACUAUAGCAUCAUACUGGAAUAUAGAACUGUGUCUGGGGUUGCUGGACCAUUGGUUAUUCUUGAUAAAGUUAAGGGACCCAAAUAUCAAGAGAUUGUUAAUAUUCGCUUAGGGGAUGGAACUACUCGGCCUGGACAAGUUCUAGAAGUUGAUGGUGAAAAAGCUGUUGUUCAGGUUUUUGAAGGUACAUCUGGGAUUGACAAUAAAUUUACAACUGUGCAAUUCACUGGUGAGGUAUACAACCACAGAAUCCCCUGCAGUUACUUGGACAAUAUAGAGAUGAUGAAUUGGAUGAGGAAUCAAGUGAAGGGCCUAAUAAUACGAAGGUGCAGAGCCUUGUGCUCAAUGAAGAGGUAUUCUACUACCUACAUAUCUAUUCUAAGCCAAUUUUUUUUUUUUUUUGUUAUACCAUAUAUGUACCUUGUUCUCACAUUUUGUUGCCAUGCCACUAAACAUGGUUUAACAAAUCAACUUGCUAUUUGUGUUUUUUACUUUAUUUUUUUAUUCCACAUGCAUUUUCACAAAUUGUAUUUUAGGUAACUGAUUGCAUUUUUUUGUUGUCGCGGGAAAUUGAAGAGCUUCUUAAUUUGUCCCCUGGAAAGGUUAUGCGAUUAGAGGAAGUGAUUUUUUAUAUAGGUUUAGUAAUUAUUUUUUU